ensembl:lncRNA
GGGGCGCUGGGGCUCUCCCUCCCCCUCCCUUCCUCCAUCCCUACACUUCGAGAGAUGGGAUGGAAACCUGUGGGACAGGGCAAGAAUUGUAUCCGGGUGCUUUCUGCAGGCAGCAAAGGUCCUACCGGAGAUACUCCAGCUACCUCUGGUCCUGAAGGAGGCCGAAGCCAUCUUCCCCCAGCUCUUCCUGGCCCUCCUCCUGCAAGUGUCCUUCACCGUGAACCUGACACAGCAGGAGGUGGAAAUCUUCUUCGAGGCGCACCAGCAGCACCAGCUCACUCCCAUCAGGUGCCACAUCCCAGUCCUCCCGCUGCACCCAGGCACCCGGUGCUGGGGCUCCCGAUGUGACUUACACCCUUCUCCACCUGCAGGGCUGUGGUGCAGUCCUUGAAGGUGCUGCUCUGCAGCGUGGGCCUCCAGAGGCAGAUGGAGGCCAUCCAGGAGCAGGGCGGCUGGGACGCGCUUCUCAGCACUGUGACCCACCUCCAGGGUGUACAGGUGGUGGCCAGGUGAGAACUCCUCCCUCAGGGUGGCAGGGGGUCCCCAGUUCUCUGAGAAAGUGCUGCCACAGCACCACCACAGCCUGUGGCCCCUGCGGCGUUGGCAAGAGGGCUGCACAGCCAGAGCUGCGUCCCCCUGGCUCGGGGCUCACGGUGCCUUCUUAUCCCUGCCAGGGUGAUGAGAGAGCUGCCUGGUGCUCUGCGUGACCCCAUCUUCCACCACCUGGUUGAGCUGCUCAGCACCAGCUUCUUCUACUCCUGGGAGACGGUGGCCAUGGUCUUCCUCAUUGAGGUGAGCACCAACUGCAGAAGCGGCGAACUUGAGGCUGCAACGCCACUGGUGGCACGAGUCCUGCUGCCUCCCUCGGGACCAGGCUUGGCCAUGCCUUGCUGUCUUUCCCCAAGCGGGUUGCUGGAUCCAGCACUAAGAGCCGCAUGUGUUGCAGAUGCUGGACUGCGUGGACCUCAACAAAGAGCUGCACCGCAUCAUGAUACUCUUUACCACCUAUCUGCAGAGCCAGAGCGUGGGCAUGCAGCAGCUGGUGCUCAGGGGCAUUCUGAAGCUGAGCCAGAGGCAGGACACGGUGAGCAGGGGCGGCCAGGAAUGCCACAGGUGCCACAGGUCGGGCUAGGCCUGCCAUGGGGCUGUAGCAGAGCCAUCUGCAGCUCAGCACCUCUCCAUGCAGUGAGGAGCUGGUGCUCGCUGCCCAUCCCAUUGCUGCCUGCUGUCCACGGGGCUGGUACUGGAGUGGUUUUGCCCUCACUGUGCUUGCUGCUCUACCUAAAGGAAGGGGUGUUCUUCCCACAGGCAAGGCCAAUGAUCAUCUUCCUGCCGUGCGUCAUGGAGCUGCUGCAGGACGCAGACAGCGACAUCCGUGCCGUGGCCUUACCAAUACUCAGCAACCUGCUGCAGCUCCUGGAGGGGCUCAAGCUCAGCCUCAUGGCUCUGGCUCUGGCCGGCAAGCUCCCGGCGCUCAUUAAUGAUGUAAGGAUAGUAGGGAGCCCAGCACAUUAGGGAUGUGGCUACCACCUCAGCGUGCCCAUGCCUGCUGCCCUGUGACAGCACACCAGGGGACUUCCUGGCCGCUCACCAGGUCCAGGGGCUGAGUGGCCCUGGGCAGACUUUCUGCAGGGCAGAGCUUGUGCACUUUGGAGCAGUUCUGGGGGCAUCCUCAAGAUCUGCCUGCAGCCUCUCAGCUCAGAGAUUCUGCCCCCACUUCAUUGGCGGUGCUGGCCCUGCUUGCCAUGGCCCUGGAGCUGCUGACACCGACGUCCUUCCUUCCUCCUCCACAGGAGUCCAGCACGGUGCGGCAACUCUCCAUCGACCUCUUCCUCGAAACGCUCAACUACGUGGAGGACCAAGAAAAGAGGAAGAUGCAGGAGGAGGUGUGCAGGAGCCUGGUCCUGCUGUAUCUGCACCUGCAUGAUGAGGAAGAGAGCGUGGCCAAGGCCUCCCAGAAAGCCCUCCUUGGUGCCGCACGGUUCCUGCGCUGGAGGCGGCUGGAGCACCUGGUACAGACAGCACAGUUCUGGCAGAUCGGCGAGUGCAUGGUAUGCACAUUCCCACACCCCACGACAGGGUCGGGACCGCCCUGCGCUAACCCUGCGCUCUUCCCACUCCAGCUGGACAAGAGGAGGAGGAAGAGUGCAGCACAGGAGUACCUGGGCCAGAGCCUGCUCUACCUACAGAGCCCGCAGGAGUCCCUGCGGCGGGAGGCCGUGAGGUUCAUCGGUGAGCCACGAGACUGAGGUUCCCCUGUCCCCGGCCCACCAUGCUGCACCAGGCAGAAGCUGGGGUCGCUGAUGGGGCUGUUUGUCACCAGGACUCUUAGGGCAGCACAUGAGGGAUCAGGAGCAGGCUGAGACAGAGUACAUCUACCAACGUGAGUCAGGGAGUGGGAUGUCCGGACAGCCGGCAGGCAACGUGCCUGUCCCCUGCUCCCUCCUAUCGGAGGGGAUGGCUGGGCGCCCUGCAGGUACACAGCUGUCAUCGAGCCUCUGUUCCUCUGUUCUCUCAGGCCUUCAGGAAGCGCAGCAAGACCCCAGUCCAUUUGUCUCUUCGCUGGCCCUUCAGACACUGAAGAUCCUGAAGGAAACGAGGCCACGUCCACCGCAAGGAGACUUUGGGCAGCUCUUCUCCAGGCUCCGCAGCGCGUGGAGAAGGUGGCGCUCCUCUCGGGCACACCGCUGAGUGCCCUGCAAAGCUCCCAGCAUCUCCUCCUGCACACUGCUCAGCUCCGCUCCUCCGGCACAUCCCUUCCCCAGUGCUGUGCAGCUCUUCACCCCGCACUGCCAUCUCCAUCAGCACGAUUGCCUGUCUUCUCUGUGUGAAAUGGGAAAACAACGCAGGAGAUCAGCAUUGCCCUGAGAGGAACAGAACGUGCAGCGCUCCCUGCCGCUGCCACACGCUUUCAGCCAACACCAGCAAUCACCAACUGCUCUGCUGCAAAACGGAGUGGUAA